UUCCCGUCCGAUCAAUCAUAGUUAAGCCAGUGAGAGCCUUCAUAAGUACUACGGUGGGAGACCACGUGGGAACAUAAGGUGCUGCAGUCU
rnacentral:rRNA from 1 species